GAAAGCCUGACGGAGCAAUACCGCGUGAGGGAGGAAGGCUUUUGGGUUGUAAACCUCUUUUCUCAAGGAAGAACACAAUGACGGUACUUGAGGAAUCAGCAUCGGCUAACUCCGUGCCAGCAGCCGCGGUAAUACGGAGGAUGCAAGCGUUAUCCGGAAUUAUUGGGCGUAAAGCGUCCGCAGGCGGCAUUAUAAGUCUGCUGUCAAAGACCGCAGCUCAACUGCGGAGAGGCAGUGGAAACUGUAAAGCUAGAGUACGGUAGGGGUAGAGGGAAUUCCCAGUGUAGCGGUGAAAUGCGUAGAGAUUGGGAAGAACACCAGUGGCGAAAGCGCUCUACUGGGCCGUAACUGACGCUCAGGGACGAAAGCUAGGGGAGCG
rnacentral:rRNA from 1 species